UGGAGGAGAAGCUCAGACAUGGCGGGGGCGGAGAGGGGCUGAGCAGCCGCACAACUCGGCGCUGAGAGAGGGUCCGGUCAGUGAAGUGGAAUGUUUCAAGCCUGAGUUCAGGAUGGAGGCCAAGAAGGCGGUAACUCGCCAACUAUUAAAUACACUUGACAUCGAUUUCCAGCACAGAAGGAGGCCAUUCGGCCCAGCUAGUCCACCCUG